GGGAUGGAAGCGGCAUCUCCCGAUUAACAAAAACAAGGCGAUCGCCGUAGUUUUUGUUAAUCGGGAAUAUAGCAAACAGCCCG
rnacentral:misc_RNA from 1 species